UACGUAGGGUGCAAGCGUUGUCUGGAAUUAUUGGGCGUAAAGAGCGUGUAGGCGGUCAGGUAGGUCGGUUGUGAAAACUGGAGGCUCAACCUUCAGAGGUCGACCGAAACCCCCUGGCUAGAGUCCGGGAGAGGAGAGUGGAAUUCCUGGUGUAGCGGUGAAAUGCGCAGAUAUCAGGAAGAACACCCGUGGCGAAAGCGGCUCUCUGGAACGGUACUGACGCUGAGACGCGAAAGCGUGGGGAGCGAACAGG
rnacentral:rRNA from 1 species